rnacentral:rRNA from 2 species
AAAUUGAAGAGUUUGAUCAUGGCUCAGAUUGAACGCUGGCGGCAGGCCUAACACAUGCAAGUCGAACGGUAACAGGAAGCAGCUUGCUGCUUUGCUGACGAGUGGCGGACGGGUGAGUAAUGUCUGGGAAACUGCCUGAUGGAGGGGGAUAACUACUGGAAACGGUGGCUAAUACCGCAUAACGUCGCAAGACCAAAGAGGGGGACCUUCGGGCCUCUUGCCAUCAGAUGUGCCCAGAUGGGAUUAGCUUGUUGGUGAGGUAACGGCUCACCAAGGCGACGAUCCCUAGCUGGUCUGAGAGGAUGACCAGCCACACUGGAACUGAGACACGGUCCAGACUCCUACGGGAGGCAGCAGUGGGGAAUAUUGCACAAUGGGCGCAAGCCUGAUGCAGCCAUGCCGCGUGUAUGAAGAAGGCCUUCGGGUUGUAAAGUACUUUCAGCGGGGAGGAAGGUGUUGUGGUUAAUAACCGCAGCAAUUGACGUUACCCGCAGAAGAAGCACCGGCUAACUCCGUGCCAGCAGCCGCGGUAAUACGGAGGGUGCAAGCGUUAAUCGGAAUUACUGGGCGUAAAGCGCACGCAGGCGGUCUGUCAAGUCGGAUGUGAAAUCCCCGGGCUCAACCUGGGAACUGCAUUCGAAACUGGCAGGCUUGAGUCUUGUAGAGGGGGGUAGAAUUCCAGGUGUAGCGGUGAAAUGCGUAGAGAUCUGGAGGAAUACCGGUGGCGAAGGCGGCCCCCUGGACAAAGACUGACGCUCAGGUGCGAAAGCGUGGGGAGCAAACAGGAUUAGAUACCCUGGUAGUCCACGCCGUAAACGAUGUCUACUUGGAGGUUGUGCCCUUGAGGCGUGGCUUCCGGAGCUAACGCGUUAAGUAGACCGCCUGGGGAGUACGGCCGCAAGGUUAAAACUCAAAUGAAUUGACGGGGGCCCGCACAAGCGGUGGAGCAUGUGGUUUAAUUCGAUGCAACGCGAAGAACCUUACCUGGUCUUGACAUCCACGGAAGAAUUCAGAGAUGGAUUUGUGCCUUCGGGAACCGUGAGACAGGUGCUGCAUGGCUGUCGUCAGCUCGUGUUGUGAAAUGUUGGGUUAAGUCCCGCAACGAGCGCAACCCUUAUCCUUUGUUGCCAGCGAUUCGGUCGGGAACUCAAAGGAGACUGCCAGUGAUAAACUGGAGGAAGGUGGGGAUGACGUCAAGUCAUCAUGGCCCUUACGACCAGGGCUACACACGUGCUACAAUGGCGCAUACAAAGAGAAGCGACCUCGCGAGAGCAAGCGGACCUCAUAAAGUGCGUCGUAGUCCGGAUUGGAGUCUGCAACUCGACUCCAUGAAGUCGGAAUCGCUAGUAAUCGUGGAUCAGAAUGCCACGGUGAAUACGUUCCCGGGCCUUGUACACACCGCCCGUCACACCAUGGGAGUGGGUUGCAAAAGAAGUAGGUAGCUUAACCUUCGGGAGGGCGCUUACCACUUUGUGAUUCAUGACUGGGGUGAAGUCGUAACAAGGUAACCGUAGGGGAACCUGCGGUUGGAUCACCUCCUUA